AUUAAAGUGAAGUCGCUAUCUGCUUUCUGCACAACUGUCGAAUUUGCAGCUUCGGUGAAGUCUGCUGUCAAGUUACUGGACACGUGGUAUUUGCACAACACUCUUGAGUCCGCAGCUUCGGUGUUUUAAGGCUGUCUCGAUAUGGAGAAGAAGUGGGAAGAGAUUUACGCGUUCAUUUCUGCGGGCUCCUACCCUUCAGGAUAUGACAAGGCUCAGAGGCAAAACCUCAGAAGAUAUGCCUCAAAAUUCAAACAAAAGGAUGGAGAACUCUUUGUUGGAACCAGAAGAGUAGUAAAAACCAUGGAUGAUGCCAGGAAGAUAUUUCAUGAGUUUCAUUCAUCUCCAAUUGGAGGACACACUGGCACACACAAAACGCUAAAUGCAGUGUGUUCCAGAUUUUACUGGUUUGGUAUGACAGUUGACA